rnacentral:rRNA from 1 species
AGUGAACGCUGGCGGUAGGCCUAACACAUGCAAGUCGAACGGCAGCACAGUAAGAGCUUGCUCUUACGGGUGGCGAGUGGCGGACGGGUGAGGAAUACAUCGGAAUCUACUUUUUCGUGGGGGAUAACGUAGGGACACUUACGCUAAUACCGCAUACGACCUACGGGUGAAAGCAGGGGAUCUUCGGACCUUGCGCGAUUGAAUGAGCCGAUGUCGGAUUAGCUAGUUGGCGGGGUAAAGGCCCACCAAGGCGACGAUCCGUAGCUGGUCUGAGAGGAUGAUCAGCCACACUGGAACUGAGACACGGUCCAGACUCCUACGGGAGGCAGCAGUGGGGAAUAUUGGACAAUGGGCGCAAGCCUGAUCCAGCCAUACCGCGUGGGUGAAGAAGGCCUUCGGGUUGUAAAGCCCUUUUGUUGGGAAAGAAAAGAAGCAGGUGAAUACCCCGCUGUUCUGACGGUACCCAAAGAAUAAGCAACGGCUAACUUCGUG